AUUGAACGCUGGCGGCAGGCCUAACACAUGCAAGUCGAACGAGUGGCGGACGGGUGAGUAAUGUCUGGGAAACUGCCUGAUGGAGGGGGAUAACUACUGGAAACGGUAGCUAAUACCGCAUACCAUCGGAUGUGCCCAGAUGGGAUUAGCUAGUAGGUGGGGUAAAGGCUCCCCUAGGCGACGAUCCCUAGCUGGUCUGAGAGGAUGACCAGCCGCACUGGAACUGAGCGACGGUCCAGACUCCGACGGGAGGCAGCAGUGGAGAAUAUUGGACAAGGGGGGCAAGCCUGAUGCAGCCAUGCCGCGAGUAUGAAGAAGGCCUUCGGGUGGUAAAGUACUUUCAGCGGGAAGGCGUUACCAGCAGAAGAAGCACCGGCUAACUCCGUGCCAGCAGCCGCGGUAAUAC
rnacentral:rRNA from 1 species